ACGGGUAAGUAAUAUAUCGGAACGUACCCUAGAGUGGGGGAUAACGCAGCGAAAGUUGCGCUAAUACCGCAUACGAUCUACGGAUGAAAGUGGGGGAUCGCAAGACCUCAUGCUCAUGGAGCGGCCGAUAUCUGAUUAGCUAGUUGGUGGGGUAAAAGCCUACCAAGGCAUCGAUCAGUAGCUGGUCUGAGAGGACGACCAGCCACACUGGAACUGAGACACGGUCCAGACUCCUACGGGAGGCAGCAGUGGGGAAUUUUGGACAAUGGGCGCAAGCCUGAUCCAGCAAUGCCGCGUGAGUGAAGAAGGCCUUCGGGUUGUAAAGCUCUUUUGUCAGGGAAGAAACGGUGAGGGCUAAUAUCCUUUGCUAAUGACGGUACCUGAAGAAUAAGCACCGGCUAACUACGUGCCAGCAGCCGCGGUAAUACGUAGGGUGCAAGCGUUAAUCGGAAUUACUGGGCGUAAAGCGUGCGCAGGCGGUUAUGUAAGUCAGAUGUGAAAUCCCCGGGCUCAACCUGGGAAUGGCAUUUGAGACUGCAUGGCUAGAGUGUGUCAGAGGGGGGUAGAAUUCCACGUGUAGCA
rnacentral:rRNA from 1 species